rnacentral:rRNA from 1 species
CACGGGGGGUGCAAGCGUUGUUCGGAAUCAUUGGGCGUAAAGCGCGUGUAGGCGGGUCGGUAAGUCAGGUGUGAAAGCCCAGGGCUCAACCCUGGAACUGCGCCUGAAACUGCCAGCCUUGAGUACGGGAGGGGGAAGCGGAAUUCUUGGUGUAGGGGUGAAAUCCGUAGAUAUCAGGAGGAACACCGAUGGCGAAGGCAGCUUCCUGGACCGAUACUGACGCUGAGACGCGAAAGCGUGGGGAGCAAACAGGAUUAGAUACCCCUGUA